rnacentral:rRNA from 1 species
CCUACGGGAGGCAGCAGUGGGGAAUAUUGCACAAUGGGCGAAAGCCUGAUGCAGCGACGCCGCGUGAGGGAUGACGGCCUUCGGGUUGUAAACCUCUUUCAGCAGGGAAGAAGCGAAAGUGACGGUACCUGCAGAAGAAGCGCCGGCUAACUACGUGCCAGCAGCCGCGGUAAUACGUAGGGCGCAAGCGUUGUCCGGAAUUAUUGGGCGUAAAGAGCUCGUAGGCGGCCUGUCACGUCGGGUGUGAAAGCCCGGGGCUUAACCCCGGGUCUGCAUUCGAUACGGGCUAGCUAGAGUGUGGUAGGGGAGAUCGGAAUUCCUGGUGUAGCGGUGAAAUGCGCAGAUAUCAGGAGGAACACCGGUGGCGAAGGCGGAUCUCUGGGCCAUUACUGACGCUGAGGAGCGAAAGCGUGGGGAGCGAACAGGAUUAGAUACCCUGGUAGUCCACGCCGUAAACGGUGGGAACUAGGUGUUGGCGACAUUCCGCGUCGUCGGUGCCGCAGCUAACGCAUUAAGUUCCCGCCUGGGGAGUACGGCCGCAAGGCAAACUCAAAGGAAUUGACGGCUUGAGAGUUGCGAGNGCGACGAGGGAGAG